rnacentral:rRNA from 1 species
GACGAACGCUGGCGGCGUGCCUAAUACAUGCAAGUAGAACGCACAGUUUAUACCGUAGCUUGCUACACCAUAAACUGUGAGUUGCGAACGGGUGAGUAACGCGUAGGUAACCUGCCUGGUAGCGGGGGAUAACUAUUGGAAACGAUAGCUAAUACCGCAUAAUAUUAAUUAUUGCAUGAUAAUUGAUUGAAAGAUGCAAUUGCAUCACUACCAGAUGGACCUGCGUUGUAUUAGCUAGUAGGUGAGGUAACGGCUCACCUAGGCGACGAUACAUAGCCGACCUGAGAGGGUGAGCGGCCACACUGGGACGGAGACACGGCCCAGACUCCUACGGGAGGCAGCAGUAGGGAAUCUUCGGCAAUGGACGAAAGUCUGACCGAGCAACGCCGCGUGAGUGAAGAAGGGUUUCGGAUCGUAAAGCUCUGUUGUAAGAGAAGAACGGGUGUGAGAGUGGAAAGUUCACACUGUGACGGUAUCUUACCAGAAAGGGGCGGCUAACUACGUG